UACAGAGGGGGCAAGCGUUGUUCGGAAUUACUGGGCGUAAAGGGCGCGUAGGUGGUUUGAUAAGGGUGUGGUGAAAGCCCGGGGCUCAACCCCGGGUCUGCCGUGCCGACUGUCAAACUCGAGGGCUGUAGAGGCAGACGGAAUUCCGGGUGUAGCGGUGGAAUGCGUAGAGAUCCGGAGGAAGACCGGUGGCGAAGGCGGUCUGCUGGGCAGUUUCUGACACUGAGGCGCGACAGCGUGGGGAGCAAACAGG
rnacentral:rRNA from 1 species